GUGCCUUUUUUGGCAGCACAUAUACUAAAAUUGGAAUGACAUAGAGAAGAUCGAUACAGCCCUUGCAGAAGGAUGACAUGCAAAUUCGUGAAGUGUUCCAUAUUUUU